CCAAGACCUUCCCCGGGUAGUGACUUCACAUCCUUUGACAUCAGCACAGCCUCGAAAGGGGGAUGGGAGAGCAGGCAGAAAGCAGAAAAACCAGCUUUGAACUCUGCGUGCAAGGCCUCCGGAGCCUCAGGCCCCGCAAGGAUCCCAGCUCUCAGGGGAUGGCUCCGGAGGCCACAACCCGGAUCAGACAAGAAGGAGCAACCAGAAAAAGGAAGCAUGUGUGUGCAUGCUCUCCAUGAUUCUACCAUUUCCCAAACUGUGUAAAAAGACUACUUCGGAACUGGAGCACUGUCGGAUGUUGGUGAGAUGAUUUCCCUACAAAAAGGAACACACUGCUAGUCCAAAGAGAAGCAAUGAAAAUAGGAGGAAACUCUCUGGCAGAACUGAAAAAUUCUUCACCUCAUAGAAAAAAGAAACAUUUCUGUAAUUAUGCUGUGCCAUUUUCUAAGACAAAUAAAGCCCUUUAACUCCUAAA